rnacentral:rRNA from 1 species
UACGUAGGUGGCGAGCGUUGUCCGGAUUUACUGGGCGUAAAGGGCGUGCAGGCGGUUUGUUAAGUGCAGGGUGAAAGCUCCCGGCUCAACUGGGAGAGGUCCUUGCAUACUGGCGAACUCGAGGGAGGCAGAGGAAAGUGGAAUUCCCGGUGUAGUGGUGAUAUGCGUAGAUAUCGGGAGGAGCACCUGUGGCGAAGGCGGCUUUCUGGGCCUUACCUGACGCUGAGACGCGAAAGCGUGGGGAGCGAACCGG